CAAGGAAGGACCAUCCACCAUAUGGGAAUCAUUAUAUGGCCAAUGGAAAUGGAUGUGAACGACCAACAAUGAAGCAAGAUUGACUGGGAUCCAACUGUGCACAGAUGGGUCAACAAAACUGAGCCCGUGUCUGAGAGAUCUCCUUCCAUGGCUGGGGUGGGUACAUGAAGGCAGCGUUCUGGAUCUGGUCGUUAAUGUCCUCGUCCUCGUUGAAGGGGAAGGUGCCACUAAGGCUGACGUAAAUGAUGACCCCCACUGACCACAUGUCCAAGGAGCGGUUGUAGCCCUUACUACGCAGCACCUCUGGGGCCAGGUAGGCUGGGGUACCCACCACCGAACGCCUGAACGACUUCUCACCAAUGAUACGGGCAAAGCCAAAGUCACACAGUUUAACCUGCCAGGACAAACAAACACACACAUGAGAAUGCUACAUUGUCUCCUCCACACAUUUUAUCCAUACACAAUACAUAUUUUACUAGAAAGACUACUGGUUGUUACCUGAGGGAAGGGUUCUGCUGAGGCCAGCAGCACGUUCUCAGGCUUCAGGUCACAGUGGACGAUGUUCUUGAAAUGCAGAUGUCUCAAAGCCACCAGGAUCUGUUACAGAACAUAGCCCAAAGCCCAUGGGUUAGUUAUAUCAAACCACAUCAUACCACACAAUGACACAUUCAUAUAACCUUAUGGACUCACUCAUAAAAUAUGUGUAAAUAAUGGGAGUUGCAUUAGUAUUUUAGUAGUUAACUAAGCUAUUUCUAGGUUGGUCACUUUCUUAGGUUCCAUAUGGAGACAUGAUCUCAUCUCUGCUGUAGUGUAAGCAUAAACUGUAGUUGCUACCGCUGCACGCAUGUUUAGCUGUGGUCCUCUAACCACUCCACACUGCUGCCUGACUCCUGACUUUGACAAAGUCCUGAUAAACCACAUCAGAGCCAGGCCUGCUGCUAAUUGUCAUGUGCAGCUCCAUGCCUAAUGGACCAGCUCAUGUUUGGCCCCGGGGUCCCUCUCUUGUAAUUAGCCCACAAGACCAGAGCAGAGCAGCGCACCACUACGCCACCGCAGGCUGUAAUCCACCGGGAGGGACACGGCGAUGAUGCCAUCCAGACCAGCGCGCCCCGUAAACAAUCCCCCCCAUAUCCACACACCGCAAGAAUAAAUAGGCCCGGGGUUGAGUCUACUACAGAUUAUAUAGAGAAAGGGAGAGGGAGGAAAAGAGGGCGAAAGAAAGUGAGCAAGGACAGAGAGAUAGAGGGGGGAGGGGGUGUUAGAGAUGAGAUAAGAGAAAAGUAGAGCAAGCAAGAAUGGGAGAAAGAGACAGACCUGUGUGACCAGGAACUUGGUGAUGCGUUCUGGGAGCUUGCUCUUCUCACUGGACAGGAUCAUCUCCAACAUGUCUCCAUGGAGCUUCUCCAUGACAACAAACACUCUCUCUGGCGUCUCGAACAUACACUCCAGGUUGACGAUGCCAGGAUGGUGAAGGUUCUAAACGAGGGAGCAAACCUCAGAGUCAACAUUCUAUACUGUAGCAUAUUUCAGUGUCACCGUUUGAAACUCAGCAAGAAUGACUACUGUAUUUAAAACAAAAAACAGUGUUAAGUGAGAAGUAGGGAUUUGUCUGAAGCCGAAAAAGCAAGGAAAUACACAUGAGCACCACAAUGCCUACUCCACCCAAGCUCUACCAAGGUUUUCCAGCACACAGCUUUGACCUACUAUAGUAGCUAUGUUGGUAUUGUACUUCAAACUAUGUGUAGGCAGGUUGCUUAGGAUUCAAACCUUCUCAAACAGCCUAAAGAGGAGGUGCUCCCCCAAUAAUGUGAUUUGUACCAUAUACAAUUUAAAGUAUUGGAUUCUUCACACACCCAGUCCGCUACCUUUUCAAUCGUUUUAAAAUUAUAUGAAAGCAUACUUUGAGCAAGUUGUUAUGCUUGUAGUAAUGUGAUGCCUGCCUGUAUUUCCUUGAACCUUUAUUUUAUCACAGCAGAUGUAGUGUGUUGAGCAGUCACUUAUAUAUAGAGGUCUAUAGAGCCUGUCUGCAUUCCUGAUUUCUCUAACCGUUAGCUUACCUGUGUAAUAUUGACAUAAGCUCAGAAACACUUGGUCUGCAAACAUGGUUCAGUUUUAUCAAUUGCCGUGCUCAUCAAUGAGCAGUUGUAUGUUUCUCCUUUUCUCCUCCUUUUUGAGUUGUAUGUAUUUGUAUUUAUUUUUUGCAAUAAAGAUGGUGACGCUACAAUAAUA